rnacentral:rRNA from 1 species
GUCUGCAGCCAUACCACCUUGAACACACCCGAUCUUGUCUGAUCUCGGAAGCUAAGGAGGGUCAGGCCUGGUUAGUACUUGCAUGGGAGAAUUCCAAUUUAUACGUACU